rnacentral:lncRNA from 1 species
AAUAAUUACGCAGAUUGGAAGUUUCAUCGUUCAGACUUUAUGUCGACUAUACGUAAAAUCCAAACUACAUGAUCAUGUUUUUUUAUAAACGGCUCGAGUUUGAUCACCACUUUCAAUUAGAAUCUAGAUGCAUGUGCCAUCUUCCACCGUGUAGUACACAAAUCCCUAUAGUGCUGGUGGUGCAUCUGUAGAGGCUCUAGGCAUGGAGGUGGUGGAUGACAAGGCUCUCUAACUAGUUGUCAUUUGUUCAGUUUUGUGGUGACCAUGCAUUAGAAGCUCUUAUCAAAACUGCUUUUUGUUGUAU